CCCCCCCCCCCCCCCCCCCCCCCCCCCCCCCCCCCCCCCCCCCCCCCCCCCCGGCAGCCGUGGGCCCCUCACCGCGCCCAGUGUCGGUGGGACACUUGCCAAGUUCUCCGGUAGUUCCUCCGGUAAAACAGCUGCCUCGGAACACUAAAAGCACAGAGCUAUCUCUGAUCUUCACCUUACCUGCUUAAAAAUGGACCUGACUCAUUGACAGGGCCACAAGGAGCUCAGUGCCACAGACAGCUGUGGGACACCACAAGUGGUAGCAGGCCUCCAGCAGCUUAUUUCACCAUGGUUCAUCUGGCCUGUUGGUACACAUGACCUGCACCUCCAGUACAUUUAAGAGAUUGUGUUAUUCUGCCAAGGUAUAAGUGUG
rnacentral:lncRNA from 12 species